rnacentral:tRNA from 1 species
GCCGAGGUGGCGAAACUGGCAGACGCAGGGGACUUAAAAUCCCCGGCCCGCAAGGGCGUGAGAGUUCGACCCUCUCCCUCGGCA